AUUGCACGCUGGCGGCAGGCCUAACACAUGCAAGUCGAACGAGUGGCGGACGGGUGAGUAAUGUCUGGGAAACUGCCUGAUGGAGGGGGAUAACUACUGGAACCGGUAGCUAAUACCGCAUACCAUCAGAUGUUCCACUAUGGGAUUAGCUUGUUGGUGGGGUAACGGCUCACCAAGGCGACGAUCCCUAGCUGGUCUGAUCGGAUGACCAGCCACACUGGAACUGAGACACGGUCAAGACUCCUACGGGAGGAAGCAGUGGGGAAUAUUGCACAAUGGGCGCAAGCCUGAUGCAGCCAUGCCGCGUGUAUGAAGAAGGCCUUCGGGUUGUAAAGUACUUUCAGCGGGGAGGCGUUACCCGCAGAAGAAGCACCGGCUAACUCCGUGCCAGCAGCCGCGGUAAUUC
rnacentral:rRNA from 1 species